rnacentral:lncRNA from 1 species
CAGGUUAGAUGUUAGUUAUCAUGGAAAUUUUUUUACUUAAAACUAGUAUCUCCUAGGGCAGAAGUCCAUAACCUAGGGUUGGUUGGUUUGUUUGGAAGGGGAGAGGGAAAGAGGGAGAAAAUCUUGUCCAGAAAGGGCCCUGUUUGAGCCUGAAAAGAUAGUAGACGCUGUUUGGAACUGGGUCUCUAAGUCUCAGGGCUCACUGUCCUCAGGCGCCUGGGGUGCCACAUGAUUGGAUGUUAGAGUGCGUUGCAUUCAAAGCACUUUCCACAGCCAUAAAGAAUUGAAAGAUAAAUUGUACUUUUACGCUCUUGAGAGACCGCUAAUGAGUCCACAGCAAACUUACUCCAGCGCUCUUUUCUCCGUCACUCUCCUCACCCAACAUGCUGCUUAAGCGCCUCCCGCAUCCCGCCCCCCUCCUUCUCACCCAGCGGCUCCACAUGGCUCCCCUCAGUCUCUCUUCCAGCAAGAAUUCCCUCUUUCGGAUGCUGGAGAAGGGGAAAUGGAGCCAAUUACUGAAAUCGAGGAUCUCUUAUUCAAGUCUUUCAGAAACAGCAGUAUAGACCACCUCAGAGGAUUUCAAUGCUGCUAAUUUUGACCUCAGAAGAAAUCUGUAUGUUUUCAAAGCUUCAAGUGAUCCCUGAACACCAGAAUUUUAGGUAAGCCAUAGUGCUCCUUCCCAAAGCUUCUGCCACACCAUGAACAUGGAACGGGGCCUAUAGAUCAAUUCCCAGUACAGUAAAGGAAAUAAUGUCUGCUUUUGACAAAAGGCAUCUCAACCUCCA